GGAGCCCACCCUGGUUUCAUUCCUAAGCUGGCCUGCUCUUCCCAGGGUGUGUUUCGUCAGCUGCAUCUCCGAACAGCAGUAACUGCUGCCGUGUCGAGGCACUUCCCUCAGCCAUCCUGGAGACACAUGAAGACGUGCCCGCUUCCCCUUUGCUUUCUGCCAUGAUUGUAAGUUUCCUGAGGCGUCCCCAGCCCUGCAGAACUGUGAGUAAUUUAAACCUCUUUCCUUUAUAAAUUACCCAGUCUCAGGCAGUUCUUCAUAGCAGCAUGAGAAUGGAAUAAAACAGUAAAUUGAUACUGGGUAGUGGGGCGCUGCUAUAAAGAUACUAAAAAACGUGGAAGUGACUUUGGAACUGGGUAACAGGCAGAGGUUGGAACAGUUUGGAGGGCUCAGAAGAAGACAGGAAGAUGUCUUCCAGGAAAGUUGGAACUUCCUAGAGACUUGUUUAAUGGUUUUGACCAAAAUGCUGAUAGUGAUGUGGACAAUGAAGUCCUGGCUGAGGUGGUCUCAGAUGGAGAUGAAGAACUUUUUGGGAACUGGAAUAAAGGUGACUCUUGCUACAUUUUAGCAAAGAGACUGGCAGUAUUUUGCCCUUGCCCUAAAGAUCUGUGGAAUUUUGAACUUGAGAGAGA
rnacentral:lncRNA from 1 species